rnacentral:piRNA from 1 species
UAAAAGUAUCCAGAACUAAGGGGUUAAAAUA